CCCUUAGAUGUUCUGGGCCGCACGCGCGCUACACUGAUGCAUUCAACGAGUUUAUAACCUGGAUGGAGACGUCUCUGGGUAAUCUUUUAAACCUGCAUCGUGAUGGGGAUAGAUCUUUGAAAUUAUAGAUCUUCAACGAGGAAUUCCUAGUAAACGCGAGUCAUCAGCUCGCAUUGAUUACGUCCCUGCCCUUUGUACACACCGCCCGUCGCUCCUACCGAUUGAGUGGUCCGGUGAGGCUUUGGGAUCUGAGCGGAAAGAGCGUUUCGCUGUUUCUGCCCGGAAAACUCAGUCGAACCUUAUCAUUUAGAGGAAGGAGAAGUCGUAACA
rnacentral:rRNA from 1 species